CAUGGGCCUUAGGUGGAGCAACUUCUACUUCCUCGAUGGAAAGAGGCUUACCGGCCUCCCAGGCCACAGCAGCCUUGCAUUUGAUCACCUGAGGAUGAAUUGAGAAGAUAUCAGAAGAGAUGCUUUGGUGAGGGCAAAUUUCGCUGCAAACUCACUUUCCCAGUCGUGUCCAUGACUUUCUUCCACCACGAGAGGAAAGGAAGGAGGGGUGUAGCAAACUGAAGACCUCUUUCUUUAACCAAUGAGAGACCACGAUGUGACUACGCUCGAGCAAAGUUCGUUGUUUUUCUCAGCGCAAGCAGCGCUUUUGCAUUUUAUUGGUCUUUAGCUAAUCGAUGUAUCUUUUGAAUUGUUCAAAUAUAAAUCAAAGAGAAACUCUCCCUACAACUAGAAAUAGGCCGUCAAAGCAUUUCUGAUACAUUUACACUACAAAUAUGUAGUUAGUUAUUAUGAAUACUAUAUAUAAAGACAUGUUAAAACAAACUUUUCUCUCUCUCUUUUAAAAAACAAGAACCAUGAUUUGUUUUUAUUAAAGGGAGAUUGCCAGACAUCUUACAAAAUAUUACUGGACACAUAGGCUGGAAAUUAAACUUUACGCCUUGGCAAAUCAUAAGUUACAUAUAUAUAUAUAUAUAUAUAUUAUAUAUUUUUUUUCAUUGU